UACAGAGGUCCCAAGCGUUGUUCGGAUUCAUUGGGCGUAAAGGGUGCGUAGGCGGCGCGGUAAGUCGGGUGUGAAAUCUCGGGGCUUAACUGCGAAACUGCAUUCGAUACUGCCGUGCUUGAGGACUGGAGAGGAGACUGGAAUUUACGGUGUAGCGGUGAAAUGCGUAGAUAUCGUAGGGAAGACCAGUGGCGAAGGCGGGUCUCUGGACAGUUCCUGACACUGAGACGCGAAGGCCAGGGGAGCAAACGGG
rnacentral:rRNA from 1 species